rnacentral:rRNA from 1 species
UACGUAGGGUGCAAGCGUUGUCCGGAAUUAUUGGGCGUAAAGAGCUCGUAGGCGGUCUGUCACGUCGGCUGUGAAAACCCGGGGCUCAACCCCGGGCCUGCAGUCGAUACGGGCAGACUAGAGUGCGGUAGGGGAGACUGGAAUUCCUGGUGUAGCGGUGAAAUGCGCAGAUAUCAGGAGGAACACCGAUGGCGAAGGCAGAUCUCUGGGCAGUAACUGACGCUGAGGAGCGAAAGCGUGGGGAGCGAACAGG